UUUGUUGGUUCCUGUUUUUAACAGGCGAAGAGGGAAUGUGAUGUGACCAGUGAUCCAUCCGGGAUCACCAGGUGCAAGCACAGCCGCCCCCGCGACCGUGACCGGAGAGGUCUCUGAUGCCACUGGCCCUAUGGGCCGGGAAGGCAAGAGAACCGUAAAAAGGCCCAUCGCCUUUUGACUCCGCAAGCCGGGAGACCUGCCAACACAU
rnacentral:ncRNA from 1 species